rnacentral:rRNA from 1 species
GGCUAACUCUGUGCCAGCAGCCGCGGUAAUACAGGGAGUGCAAGCGUUGUUCGGAAUUACUGGGCGUAAAGGGAGCGUAGGCGGAGCUACAAGUCAGGGGUUAAAGAUCCGGGCUCAACCUGGAAAGUGCCUUUGAGACUGUAGUUCUUGAGUAUGGCAGAGGCUAGCGGAAUUACCGGUGUAGCGGUGGAAUGCGUAGAUAUCGGUAAGAACACCAGAGGCGAAGGCGGCUAGCUGGGCCAAUACUGACGCUGAGGCUCGAAAGUGUGGGGAGCAAACAGGAUUAGAUACCCUGGUAGUCCACACCGUAAACUAUGAACACUAGAUGUCGGGGAGUUGAUUUCCCGGUGUCGGCGCUAACGCAAUAAGUGUUCCGCCUGGGGAGUACGCUCGCAAGGGUG